CGGAGGCAGCAGUGAGGAAUCUUCCGCAAUGGACGAAAGUCUGACGGAGCAACGCCGCGUGUAUGAUGAAGGUCUUCGGAUUGUAAAGUACUGUCUUUGGGGAAGAACGGUAGACUUGAAAAUAUUGAGUUUACAUGACGGUACCCAAGGAGGAAGCCCCGGCUAACUACGUGCCAGCAGCCGCGGUAAUACGUAGGGGGCAAGCGUUGUCCGGAAUUAUUGGGCGUAAAGGGCGCGUAGGCGGAUACUUAAGUCCGGUGUGAAAGAUCAGGGCUCAACCCUGAGAGUGCAUCGGAAACUGGGUAUCUUGAGGACAGGAGAGGAAAGUGGAAUUCCACGUGUAGCGGUGAAAUGCGUAGAUAUGUGGAGGAACACCAGUGGCGAAGGCGACUUUCUGGACUGUAACUGACGCUGAGGCGCGAAAGCGUGGGGAGCAAACAGGAUUAGAUACCCUAGUAGUCCG
rnacentral:rRNA from 1 species